GACGAACGCUGGCGGCGUGCCUAAUACAUGCAAGUCGAGCGGACAGACGGGAGCUUGCUCCCUGAUGUUAGCGGCGGACGGGUGAGUAACACGUGGGUAACCUGCCUGUAAGACUGGGAUAACUCCGGGAAACCGGGGCUAAUACCGGAUGGUUGUCUGAACCGCAUGGUUCAGACAUAAAAGGUGGCUUCGGCUACCACAUACAGAUGGACCCGCGGCGCAUUAGCUAGUUGGUGAGGUAACGGCUCACCAAGGCAACGAUGCGUAGCCGACCUGAGAGGGUGAUCGGCCACACUGGGACUGAGACACGGCCCAGACUCCUACGGGAGGCAGCAGUAGGGAAUCUUCCGCAAUGGACGAAAGUCUGACGGAGCAACGCCGCGUGAGUGAUGAAGGUUUUCGGAUCGUAAAGCUCUGUUGUUAGGGAAGAACAAGUGCCGUUCAAAUAGGGCGGCACCUUGACGGUACCUAACCAGAAAGCCACGGCUAACUACGUG
rnacentral:rRNA from 1 species